rnacentral:lncRNA from 1 species
ACAAAAUCGGUUUAAUUGGUAGCAGAGACGGAUUAAGCGGGAUGACAGAGGGCCAUAGUCCCCCCUUUUAUAUAUUUAUUUACAUUAAUGAUUUAGAAAAACAUUUAUUAAUUUGAGAAAAGUGGUUAUUUAUUUAUACCAGAGAAAAGUAUAAAUUUAAAGUAGUUAAGAAAGCGAGAUUUUGAUUGGAUAAAACAAUUAAUAAAGCA